AGACUGCGAUGGCCAGUCUGCUAG
rnacentral:siRNA from 1 species